GAAACUACAAAGGAAGUUACGACGGGGCCGGCACGAAGCGGUGGAGUAUGUGGUUUAAUUCGAUGCAACGCGAAGAACCUUACCUGGUCUUGACAUCCCGGAGACCCUUAGGAAACUAGGGGUGCUUCCAGUCUGGAAGAAUCUGGAGACAGGUGCUGCAUGGCUGUCGUCAGCUCGUGUCGUGAGAUGUUGGGUUAAGUCCCGCAACGAGCGCAACCCUUGCCUUUAGUUGCCAGCAGUUCGGCUGGGCACUCUAAAGGGACUGCCGGUGUUAAACCGGAGGAAGGUGGGGAUGACGUCAAGUCCUCAUGGCCUUUAUGACCAGGGCUACACACGUACUACAAUGGCCGAUACAAAGGGCAGCGACACUGCGAGGUGAAGCCAAUCCCGUAAAAUCGGUCUCAGUCCGGAUUGGAGUCUGCAACUCGACUCCAUGAAGUUGGAAUCGCUAGUAAUCGUGGAUCAGCAUGCCACGGUGAAUACGUUCCCGGGCCUU
rnacentral:rRNA from 1 species